CAGAAGGUACAGACUUUAGGAAUAAAAGAGUGGUCUUGCUGAGCCUUGAUUUUAGACUUCUAGUCUUCUAAAAUCGUGAGGCGAUAAAUUAUUGUUUAAGCCAAAAGAGAAAGAGAGCGCACGAGAGAGCUAGCGAGUGAUAGGCAGCGAGUGCGUCCUCAAGAGUGAAUGCCUGGAACCAGUUCUUCAGAGGGUUCGGCUACUGUCCUGGAGUCCAUGAGGCAAGAAACCAGAGGCAUAGAGAGGCUAGUUAUUGCAAGGGCACGCGGAGAGUAAAUGUUGGAUCAAACUGAGUCCUUCAGGACCAAACCCCUGAAUUUUCAAAUAUUGACCUGCUGCAUGGCCACUUGCCUGGUGGAAAUUGGCCCCACCCACCCCUCCAAUGCUGGACCAAAAUGGUCUAAUGGGAUUACCAGGUUUAGGAAUGAGCAUGGCACACAAAUGGACACAACUGGAAGUUGGCUGGGGUGAUUUUGGGAAAAGUUUGCAGGCUCUUAAAAGAGAGUUCCAUGAGAAACGAACUUCUUCUUCCUUUGGACAUCAUUUUGUCUGGAUGUGAUAUGAUAUGAACAUUGAAGAAGCAGUUACUAUCAGCCUGAGGGAAAAAGCACAUAUGAGAAUGGCAAAGGAAUGGAAAGAAGAUGGGCUCCUGAUGAUGUCACCAAGUCAAUGACUCAGCCAACCUUGAGGACAUCCUGUUGCAUGGAUAACAGAGGCCAUGUCAUGAUCAUUAGAGAUCUGGCUUUUCACAGAAAGAACACCUUGAAGUUCUUGGCCACAGAGAAUUGGACGAAAGAAU